UGGGGCGUAGCCAAGUGGCCUAAGGCACCGGUUUUUGGUAUCGGCAUUCGGAGGUUCGAAUCCUCCCGCCCCAGCCA
rnacentral:tRNA from 2 species